AUGUUAGAGAUUCAGAGGCUUGAAGCUGAAGUAGAGAAUCACAACACAAGGAACAAUGAGAAGCUGAAGAAGGCACUAAAUGAUGCAUCUGCAAAGUCAGGUGACCUCUCACGAGCCAAUCAGGAGCUUCGAGAGAAGGUGUCUGAGCUGGAAAAGUUGGUGUCCAAUCAGAAGUCUCGACUGAGUCAGUAUCUGGACAACAGAACAGCUCUGAAACACUCUCUGAGAAUCAAGUCUCAGUCUUUGCUGCAGCUGCGCUCUGAGAUGUUUUCUCUCCAGUCUGAGCUGCAGUGUCUGUAUUCCACUCAGCAGGCGGAGCUACAGGCCGAAAGAGAUCUCAGUCGCACACUACAGGAGAAAUGUUGGCACCUGGAAGAGAGUUUGAAACGGCUCCAGGAUGAGGCAGAAGUGAGACUCAGGGAAGUUUAUCUGGAGUCACAGCAGAUCACAGAGAACAUGGACGAGGACCACAGAGGGCUCUGCUCUAAAUCUGAGAGCUUUAAUGGCCAGGCUGAGCCACAGAAACUCACAGAGCUUUCGCAAGAGGGGAGAAGACAGCACAUGGUCCACUUCAGCUCAGGAGAUUGUCUUUUGGGUUUUCUUUCGGGAUCGCCGGUGACCCGCUGUGUGGAAACGCACUGAGCCAUGCGUCAGUUGAAGGGCAAGCCGAAGAAGGAGUCAUGGAAGGACAAAAAGGAGCGCAAACAGGCCAUGCAGGAGGCGCGGGNACUUAAAAAUCUAAAAAUGCCCAAUUUGUCACACUGCAGGAUCAAUUAACAGAAAAGUGCAUUAGAAGUAUUAUUAUUAUUUAUUAAUAAUAUAUGCAUAUUAAAAUGUAUGAAUAGAGUAUACAUAUUUUUAAUAUACACUCCUGUGUAUUCACUCCCAUCUUAUCUAAAUAUAAUAACUUGCUGUGCCUCUGAAACAACUUUUCCACUGACUUCAAAUCCAGUCAAAUCCUAAUGGAUGAAAUCCAAAUCUUUUAAUAAUUCAAGCUGUAUUAAUAAUCAUUAUGCAUUUAUAAUUGAUAAGACAUUCUUAAAGAUUAAUUUGUCACACUGCAGGAUCGUUUAAAAGAUACAAAAAAGCAAAGGGAUUAAAAACCUAAAGUCAAAUAAAAAUUGUAUCAGUUAUUAAUAAUAUAUAUAUAUUAUAAUGUAUUAUUUAAUAUACAUUCCUGGUAAUAUUGUGUAGAAUUUAUCUGUACAUUAUUAUAAAAACAAUUAAUUCUAUGGACUUAAAAGCGUUAAAAGUACAUCGUUUCAACUUAAAUGUUUAUGUGCUUCAAUAGAAAAUAAUUAAAACAUUUAGCAUCACAAAAUUGUAUAUGCUUUCACAGGAGAUUGUCUUUUGGGUUUUCUUUCGGGAUCGCCGGUGACCCGCUGUGUGGAAACGCACUGAGCCAUGCGUCAGUUGAAGGGCAAGCCGAAGAAGGAGUCAUGGAAGGACAAAAAGGAGCGCAAACAGGCCAUGCAGGAGGCGCGGGAGCAGGUGACAACCAUCGUUCUACCGAC
rnacentral:lncRNA from 12 species